UACGUAGGGGGCAAGCGUUGUCCGGAUUUAUUGGGCGUAAAGCGCUUGUAGGCGGUCAGGUAGGUCCGUUGUGAAAACUCGAGGCUCAACCUCGAGACGCCGAUGGAAACCAUCUGACUAGAGUCCGGAAGAGGAGAGUGGAAUUCCUGGUGUAGCGGUGAAAUGCGCAGAUAUCAGGAAGAACACCCGUGGCUAAGGCGGCUCUCUAGUACGGUACUGACGCUGAGACGCGAAAGCGUGGGGAGCGAACAGG
rnacentral:rRNA from 1 species